rnacentral:lncRNA from 1 species
UUUUCUCCAUACCUUUUUAUUGAACUGUGCAUACUUCAUUAAAGGACCAUUUGCUUAGAAAUUCUUAAACGUUUGGACAUAUUUUACAAGACAGGACAGCAGCUGGAGGUCACAAUUUCAUCUCAUCACAUGCAUAAAAAGACACCGUUUUUUUUGUUGUUUGGUUUAUGUGUGUGUGUGUGUAUUUGUGUGUGUGUAUGUGCACGCACAUGCACAUACACACACACAAUGCUCAUUUUCACCUUUACAGGAAGGACUAGAGACAUCAACUGACCAGAGAUGAACAGGACCCACAAAUGCGACCCCGAGAAAAGAAUGGCUAAGGACAUUGGUCUUUUAUGGCUAAUGUGAUAGGCUUGGCCCCCAUCAUGGGUGGGGUGAUCAGAAUGGCUUUGCUGGCAGGAAAGCCUCAACCUCACACCAUGGUUCCUGGGAGAGACAGAGGGUCUUAGCUAAUGGAAUUGGGGCACACACGACCUUAGGGGGGCACUGGGGCUCGGAAAAUAGGGGAAAACCCAUUGGCUCUCAAAGUCGGAGGGCGGGUUGGCCCUCUUUUCCAGCUGGACUUCCAUGGCUCAGGGAAUGCAAUCCAGUUUCCAGAUGUCAGCUCCCAAAUUCCUGCCCCCAGCAAAUCCCUUUUUUGUUAGCUAAACUAGAACAUGAGGCUAAGAAUGCAGGAUAGGAAAGUAGGAAGGAGCCUGGGGCUGCCCUGUGGGGCCCCUGGAAGCGUAGCUCUGAGAAGACUGUGGCCCUUAGGGCAGACGAAUGUCAAAUUUGGACAUUCACUUGCCCCCAACUGAGUCAAGGGGCAAAUGGCAUUGGUGGGGCUUACAGGCUUUAAUUGGUGCGGUUUACAGGGGGGCGGGCAUCUCCUUCUUUCCCAGUUAGCAAUAUCGUCAAGCCAGGCAAGAACCAAUGAAUUCCUGUAUUUACUCACUCAGAAGUCAAUCGUUUACACAUUCUCUCACUCAAAAGAGUACUGGUUGGGUGUCUACUAUGUGCCACAGGCUUACACUGGGGGACAACCCUGAGUUCCUGGCACAGAAAAUGACGUUGCCAGCCCUUGGCCUGGGACUGAAGCCAGGGUAGGUCUGGAGAGCAAACAGGUCAGCUGCCCCCAGCCCAGCAGCUGCUGACCUUCUUCUUUCCUGUCCAUUAGGCACAUGGAGCUUCGAUGUCAGGCCUAUCGGAGAGAGCCCAAAACCCUAGUGAAGAUCAGGGGGCCAUAAGCCAAAGCCGUGGAGAAAUCUGAAUCUCUUAGGCAUCUUCUCAUGUGCUUCCUUCUGUGUUUUCCAAACCUGGAUUAGCUCAGGGAGGCAAGAAGUGUGGGAUGAUCUGUGUAGGACCCUUGAGAGCAUCUUGAGACAGAAUUGGGAGUCUCCUUCGUUUUCCAGAAUUGUCAUGCCAUUGUAGCCACCAAUGUGACAUAUUUCUGUAGGACAGAGCCUCAAAGGGGGAUCUUGGGAACUGGGUUUUUGUUUCAUUUUGUUUUGGGAGAGAGUAUCUGCUCAGUCAGUUCAUGCCACCCUAUUGUCUUGCCUCACUUCAUGAUAAAACCACCUACAACAGCCUGGACUUGGGGUCACCCUGAGGACAAAGCCUCACCUCCUCCAAGCCCACAAUACACAAUUAGGGGGAGGGAAGCCUCGCCUCCUCCAAACCACCUCUUGUAUAAAAUACUCUCCUUGGAGAAUGCAGUAUCCAGAUUCACUCGGGAAGGGGCUACAGAUGUGGGAGACUGGCAGCUGAAGCCUUGUUUUGCUGCAAAAUUGGAUUACAGCUGCCUCUCUCUUUUGGUCCUUCUGGACUUGCUUCAUUGGGUGGGGAAUUUCAAAUGUCUUGAAUGGGAUUUUCUGUUUUAUUUGCCAGAAAAAAAAAAAAAAAAGCCCUUUUGGAGUGGUGCCAUUUGCUAUUGCCUGGGCAGUUAGACCGCUGGCUAGUGGAUAAAAGAUAAUUGCAUCUCUUGUACAAAAAGCCUCAGGCCUGUGAGGGCACAGGGUCUGGGCAGAAGAGCUGAAGCACCAUGAGAUGGCCAGCCAGAGAUGGGACGAUUUCUUGGCUGGUCUGGGAAGGUAGCAUUAAGCCUCAUCCUACCCAGUGUGGUUCCUGUUAGGGCACUGGGGAUGGGUUAGAUGAAUGACUGGCAGGGUCAUUAAAAUUGCCCAAGAUAGGAAGCAGCAGGGAAGCAGGGUAUCCUGCUGCCACUUCCUUCCCCGGCACUCUUGCAGAGAACUCCAGAUCCUAGAAUUUGAGUUUCUGCUAACUGUACUCCCUCCUUUUGCCUGAUGCCUUGAGCCUGCACCCAGAUGUCCAAAUCACAUACAGACCUCCCUGGGGGAGGGGGAUGAAUUUCCCUGGUUGUUCAGUCCAGUUGCCAUGCAAUGUGAGGGCCCUCUGCAACAUCCAUUUUGUGCAUCAUCUAGCUUCUUUUUAAGCAGCUCAUGCCCCAACACAGCACCGACUUCCAUGGUGAGGCAGCCCUGCCCCUGAGAAGCACCUCCUUAAUCCCAGCUGAAACUGACCACUUCGUUCUCUCACACAACAGUGGCUUUCGGAGACUCGCUCGCUUGCAGCCCUCCUCCAGGCAGAUGGUUUCUUCUUCGGGAGAACUGCCCCCCCUUCCCCUAUCCUAGCCAGCCCUUGGAUCUUUUCAGGAUCUUUGCAGAGAGGAAUGAACAGUCACAAUUGUGAGGGGAAAAAGAUGAGGGACCACUGGAUUAACCAGAGCCUCUUCCGAAUCCACUUCUUCAGGCUGGCAUUUGGGGAUGUUCAGGAGAAAUUCCAGGUUAAGAAAACCAGGGGCAGUAGAUAGAAACCCAAACUUCCCAAUAUCUCUCUAGAUGAAAACAGCCACAGGAUAGAGUAUUUGCUUAUCUGGGCAUCAAACCUAGUGAACUACUGAGAGACAAUUUUAUUUUCUUCCUGUGCAAAAGUUUUUAAAAAUUUAGUCUAUUUUAUUGGGCUCUGGUUCAAACCAGAUUACCAGGAAUUUUGGAGGUGGGAAAACUCUACAUUUGUCCUUGGAUUCGUUUCCUCUUGGAGUUUAUCCAAGGGGAUGGUUCAUUGCCAUGGGGGCCUGGAUUCAGCUCAGAACUCUGAUCUGGGCAGAGGCCAGAGUCCUGAAGCUGAUAGUGAGGCAGAUGGGGGUAUGAACACCUAAAUGAAUGCAAGUUGGAGAUCAUCUGGCCUUUCUUCAUCUUCCUGCAUGAGUUGAAGAGUGGAGAAUUGCUUUCUGCUGAAGAUCCUGCUUCAUGAGAUGUCCUCUGCCCACCUGAGGCUGGAAGCUGCCAGGUGGAAUUAAGACAGUACAGAAACUCCUCAGGGCCCGGAUAGGUGGAAGCUGGAAAGACACCACUGCCCUUGCCACAAGUCUCUGGUGCUAUGGAGCCAGGCAGCUGGGAAGGGAAGGGGAGAUGAAAUGGCAGAUUCUGGGGGACAUGUCUUCUCAGGGUUUGGCUGUAAGCUUGUCUAUUAUUUGUUUGUUUGUUUUUUUGGUGAGGAUGUUGGAAAUGGAUUAAAAUGAGGAACUGAUAAGAAGUUGAUGAGAUCUGAGGCCCAGCAUGUUCUCUGAGGUUUGUAAGAACCUGAAAAUGCUCUGGCCUUCGGAUCCAAUUGAUGUUACAGGGGAGCGGGGGACUGGAGAUGGCAACAGGCCAGCCAAGAGGGGCUUGGGUGUGUUCUGGACCUCAGGGGGAAGUUUGCUUGCGUGAGAUUUUCAGUCCCAAGAUCUCUGGGGAUGAGAAAAUUCAGUCUCUUCAAAAUGCCAGCAGGGUGGGGGAGAAGGAGCUGAACCAGCCCACAUUCCAUCCUGAUUUUGAGGGCCAUCCGUAGCCCUGCUUCCCCUGGUCUCACUCCUGCAUCUGUGCCCUGGAUUCUUAAGAACAAUAAAUAGGAGAAACACACAGACAGAACGAGGAUAGUAACAGUGUCCACAGAUUCGAGGCCAAGUGUCAGGAAAUGCCUGCAUGAGGAAGUCAGAAUCCAAUGUCUUCCCCAUCCUCAGAAAGUCAGAAUCAAAAGGAAGAAAGCCCAAGGGGUGAUGGGAGGAAAUGAGAGAGACCAGAAAAUAUCAGCUAUGAGAAUGACCAACCAUAAAACUCCUAAAAUGUUAUUCUAUAUUACAAAAGAAGCCAUGAGACUUAAUAUCUCUAUUACAAAUUUGCUAAAAACACACAUAUGCCUACAUACUUUUUAUCCCAACAGAUAAAAAAUAGACUACUCUGAGAUACAUGGAUAUCCUACAAUACAGCCCUGCAUCAGAUACUUCUAGAGCCAGAAACAUGGCAACAGAAAAUGCAGAGGUAACUGUUAUUUUGGGGGCGGAGCCAGGCUGGUUUGGGUCCCCCUGGCUGAGGGAAAGCAUUUGCAUGCUGUCAUAUAAGCCGGGAGAAACCAGAAACAGGAAACUGAGCUCAGGGCUGCAGGGGAUCCAGAGGUGACCCCUUCUUCCUCUCGUCACUGGAAAAGCCCUUUCCCAAAGGAUCAUGCCCUGGAGGCAUGUCACUUCAAUCUCAUUGGAUUCAAAGUUACCUAAAUGGAGGCUGAAGCCUGGGGUUGUGUUACUUGAGACUAGCUGGCAGAGAAAUAAGGAAAGGGGGGCAUGGAGGGGAGGGAAGAGAGGAAGGGGGAGAAAGAGGGAGACCUGGCUCUAGUGACCCUUGUCCAUGGUGAAGUUUAAAUUUCAAACCCUUGUCCGUGGACGAGACACUCCAGCCGUGACUUGGAACAAGACAGAUAUGUUACAAACAUCAAUACAUCACAGUUGUACAGAAGAGAAUACUGUUGGUGGUGGUGUUUUCUCCUCAGAAAAGUGGGUCUUAUUAGGAGAAAGGGCAGGGGUGAAGCUACAGUCACCAAGACGCGGUGGAGGAGAGCUGGGAGUCAGUUUGGCAAAGUUUGUCGUCACCAGCGCUACUCGGGGGCAAGCCGGGUGAGGUGAAAGGAAUGGCCUCCUCAGGAUUUUGCUGUUCCCCCCUCUUCUGUCUUCUUCCUUCUUGAUCCCCAGUGCUUUUAGAGAAAGGGACUUCACGGAGACAAUGUGUUCUAUCCUCUUUUCUUCUUUCCCCAUGAAGUGUGCUUAAGAUAAAAUUCCUAGAGAAGGCACUGAGAAAUCUACUGCACCAAAGUCCUGUUGUUUGUCUUUACCCAAAGAUAAAAAAGUGAAAACAAGCCGACUCCUCCAGAGCUCGCCCACCUCUCUCUCCGUGGGUCGCAGGCUCCCCCGUGUGAUCGGGGACACACAGAGACCUGGUCCCUAGCCCUUACUGCUAAUGGUGGAAGUUGGAAGCCAAGGUCCGCUGGGUUCUUGACCAGGGUUUCACCGAAUUCGCCAAAGGGACCAGGCAUUCACCAGCUCCAGCCCCUAGUUUGGUUUCUUUGGGUUGACUUGUUUUUAUUUUUUAUUUUUUAUUUUUCCCAUUUUUGUUGGUUCAGGAAUGGGUAGGACAUGGAUCACUGAGUUAAAGUGCUUAUUUGCCUGCAGACCAUGCUCUUUCCUCUCCUCCAUGAGGACCUGUCUGUCUUGGUCAGCUUCUCCGUGGAGACUCUUAGGUAGAUUUCCCAGUGCAUGUACACAGGUACAGGUAAGGUGUACAACAUUUUAAAAAUCGGGGUACGUUCCUUUUUUGGCAGGUGGGGCCUGGGAAAACUUACAAUACUCUAUUUUGAGUUGGGCACAGGAUAAAAGCUAUAUUCCCACAAUACAUACACCAAGUAAAAGAAAAAAACCAAAACAAAAUGCAAUACUUUCUAAGCAUAGUAUAUGCUGAGUUUCAAUUAUUCUGUUUCUAUAAGAACUCUAUAGGACUCUGGCUAGUAAGCCUGAAAAGGUAGGUUCUUAAUGAUACUUCUGAAUUCGUCCUUCAAAAGUGACUCAAUAAAAUGCUACUUUAAGGUCAGACAAACUACACGGGGAACGGAGGGCCAGGUCCUGUGUGACCACACAAGGCAGAAAGGGCCUUUGGUUACAAGGAGAGUUGCACCAAUUGGUUAUUAGUUUAAAAAAAAAAAAAAGAAAGAAAGAAAGAAAGAAA